CUUGUUGGUGGGGUAAUGGCUCACCAAGGCGACGAUCCGUAGCUGGUCUGAGAGGACGAUCAGCCACACUGGGACUGAGACACGGCCCAGACUCCUACGGGAGGCAGCAGUGGGGAAUCUUGCGCAAUGGGCGAAAGCCUGACGCAGCGACGCCGCGUGCGGGAAGAAGGCCUUCGGGUUGUAAACCGCUUUCAGGAGGGACGAAGCCACUCGGGUUAAUAGCCCAGAGGGUGACGGUACCUCCAGAAGAAGCCCCGGCUAACUACGUGCCAGCAGCCGCGGUAAUACGUAGGGGGCUAGCGUUGUCCGGAUUUAUUGGGCGUAAAGAGCGUGUAGGCGGCCAGAUAGGUCUGCUGUGAAAACUCGAGGCUCAACCUCGAGCUGUCGGCGGAAACCAUUUGGCUAGAGUCCGGAAGAGGAAAGUGGAAUUCCUGGUGUAGCGGUGAAAUGCGCAGAUAUCAGGAAGAACACCCGUGGCGAAGGCGGCUUUCUGGGACGGUACUGACGCUGAGACGCGAAAGCGUGGGGAGCGAACAGGAUUAGAUACCCUGGUAGUCCACGCUGUAAACGAUGGGUGCUAGGUGUGGGCGGUGUCGACUCCGUCCGUGCCGAAGCUAACGCAUUAAGCACCCCGCCUGGGGAGUACGGCCGCAAGGCUAAAACUCAAAGGAAUUGACG
rnacentral:rRNA from 1 species